UACGUAGGGCGCAAGCGUUAUCCGGAAUUAUUGGGCGUAAAGAGCUCGUAGGCGGUUUGUCGCGUCUGCCGUGAAAGUCCGGGGCUCAACUCCGGAUCUGCGGUGGGUACGGGCAGACUAGAGUGAUGUAGGGGAGACUGGAAUUCCUGGUGUAGCGGUGAAAUGCGCAGAUAUCAGGAGGAACACCGAUGGCGAAGGCAAGUCUCUGGGCAUUAACUGACGCUGAGGAGCGAAAGCAUGGGGAGCGAACAGG
rnacentral:rRNA from 1 species